UACAGGGGGUGCAAACGUUGCUCGGAAUCAUUGGGCGUAAAGCGCACGUAGGCGGUUCGUUAUGUCGGAUGUGAAAGCCCUUGGCUUAACCGAGGAAGUGCAUCCGAAACUGGCGAGCUAGAGUACUAAAGAGGAUCGCGGAAUUCCCGGUGUAGAGGUGAAAUUCGUAGAUAUCGGGAGGAACACCGGUGGCGAAGGCGGCGAUCUGGGUAGAUACUGACGCUGAGGUGCGAAGGCGUGGGGGAGCAAACAGG
rnacentral:rRNA from 1 species